GGCCUCGUGACUAAAGUGGUGAGGGCGUCGGCUGAACUCAAGCCUCGCCCCUUGCUGGCGUGGGUUCGAAUCCCACCGAGGCCG
rnacentral:tRNA from 1 species